rnacentral:rRNA from 1 species
AAAGGAAUUGACGGGGACCCGCACAAGCAGCGGAGCAUGUGGUUUAAUUCGAAGCAACGCGAAGAACCUUACCAGGACUUGACAUCCUUCUGACAGGCCCUUAACCGGGCCCUCCCUUCGGGCAGAAGAGACAGGUGGUGCAUGGUUGUCGUCAGCUCGUGUCGUGAGAUGUUGGGUUAAGUCCCGCAACGAGCGCAACCCUUGUCAUUAGUUGCCAUCAUUGAGUUGGGCACUCUAGUGAGACUGCCGGGGAUAACUCGGAGGAAGGUGGGGAUGACGUCAAAUCAUCAUGCCCCUUAUGUUCUGGGCUACACACGUGCUACAAUGGCCGGUACAACGAGACGCGAGACCGUGAGGUGGAGCAAAUCUUAUAAAACCGGCCCCAGUUCGGAUUGUAGGCUGCAACUCGCCUACAUGAAGCCGGAGUUGCUAGUAAUCGCGGAUCAGAAUGCCGCGGUGAAUGCGUUCCCGGGUCUUGCACACACCGCCCGU